UGGCCCCCCGGCACACACAAGCCGGCGCGGGGUUUUCAAUUACGAGACCAUGCGGGGAGGGAGGGGACGCUGCAGCGCACCAAGCUGCUGCUCAGAAAGACCCCGAUUGCGCUCCAGGUCCCGCCCCUGGAGCCCGCCCGAGGUCGCGCCUUGGGCUUGUGCCAGCCGCCCGGCUACCGCGACAGGGCGGCCACUGCCCCGCCACGCCCGUUAUCACAUAAGAACGGCCAUACUGGGUCUGACCAAAGGUCCAUCCAGCCCAGUAUCCUGUCUGACCGACAAUGGCCAAUGCCAAGUGCUCCAGAGGGAGUGAACCUAACAGGUUGCAUGAUCAACCCUGGUUCUCUCAGAUAUUUACUCCCGUUUUUUUUCUGAGGGGACAUGGGUCUGGCUUUCUGCUGAAGGCCUUCU